rnacentral:rRNA from 1 species
GAGUUUGAUCGUGGCUCAGGAUGAACGCUAGCGGCGCGCCUAAUGCAUGCAAGUCGAGCGAUGAGGCACCUUUGGGUGUACAUCAGCGGCAGACGGGUGAGUAACACGUAGGUGACCUUACCCCGAAGACGGGGGAUAACCAGGUGGAAACAUCUGCCUAAUACCCGAUGGACUCUGAGCGGAAGCGAGGAGUAAAGGCUACGGUGCUUCGGGAGGGGCCUGCGGCCUAUCAGCUAGUUGGUAGGGUAACGGCCUACCAAGGCGAAGACGGGUAGGGGGUGUGAGAGCACGGCCCCCCACAAUGGGACUGAGACACGGCCCAUACUCCUACGGGAGGCAGCAGCAGGGAAUAUUGCGCAAUGGGCGGAAGCCUGACGCAGCGACGCCGCGUGGAUGAAG